AGAGUUUGAUCAUGGCUCAGGACGAACGCUGGCGGCGUGCCUAAUACAUGCAAGUAGAACGCUGAAGAGAGGAGCUUGCUCUUCUUGGAUGAGUUGCGAACGGGUGAGUAACGCGUAGGUAACCUGCCUUGUAGCGGGGGAUAACUAUUGGAAACGAUAGCUAAUACCGCAUAACAAUGGAUGACACAUGUCAUUUAUUUGAAAGGGGCAAUUGUUCCACUACAAGAUGGACCUGCGUUGUAUUAGCUAGUAGGUGAGGUAAUGGCUCACCUAGGCGACGAUACAUAGCCGACCUGAGAGGGUGAUCGGCCACACUGGGACUGAGACACGGCCCAGACUCCUACGGGAGGCAGCAGUAGGGAAUCUUCGGCAAUGGGGGCAACCCUGACCGAGCAACGCCGCGUGAGUGAAGAAGGUUUUCGGAUCGUAAAGCUCUGUUGUAAGUCAAGAACGGGUGUGAGAGUGGAAAGUUCACACUGUGACGGUAGCUUACCAGAAAGGGACGGCUAACUACGUGCCAGCAGCCGCGGUAAUACGUAGGUCCCGAGCGUUGUCCGGAUUUAUUGGGCGUAAAGCGAGCGCAGGCGGUUUGAUAAGUCUGAAGUUAAAGGCUGUGGCUCAACCAUAGUUCGCUUUGGAAACUGUCAAACUUGAGUGCAGAAGGGGAGAGUGGAAUUCCAUGUGUAGCGGUGAAAUGCGUAGAUAUAUGGAGGAACACCGGUGGCGAAAGCGGCUCUCUGGUCUGUAACUGACGCUGAGGCUCGAAAGCGUGGGGAGCGAACAGGAUUAGAUACCCUGGUAGUCCACGCCGUAAACGAUGAGUGCUAGGUGUUGGAUCCUUUCCGGGAUUCAGUGCCGCAGCUAACGCAUUAAGCACUCCGCCUGGGGAGUACGACCGCAAGGUUGAAACUCAAAGGAAUUGACGGGGGCCCGCACAAGCGGUGGAGCAUGUGGUUUAAUUCGAAGCAACGCGAAGAACCUUACCAGGUCUUGACAUCCCGAUGCUAUUUCUAGAGAUAGAAAGUUACUUCGGUACAUCGGUGACAGGUGGUGCAUGGUUGUCGUCAGCUCGUGUCGUGAGAUGUUGGGUUAAGUCCCGCAACGAGCGCAACCCCUAUUGUUAGUUGCCAUCAUUCAGUUGGGCACUCUAGCGAGACUGCCGGUAAUAAACCGGAGGAAGGUGGGGAUGACGUCAAAUCAUCAUGCCCCUUAUGACCUGGGCUACACACGUGCUACAAUGGUUGGUACAACGAGUUGCGAGUCGGUGACGGCGAGCUAAUCUCUUAAAGCCAAUCUCAGUUCGGAUUGUAGGCUGCAACUCGCCUACAUGAAGUCGGAAUCGCUAGUAAUCGCGGAUCAGCACGCCGCGGUGAAUACGUUCCCGGGCCUUAUACACACCGCCCGUCACACCACGAGAGUUUGUAACACCCGAAGUCGGUGAGGUAACCUUUUGGAGCCAGCCGCCUAAGGUGGGACAGAUGAUUGGGGUGAAGUCGUAACAAGGUA
rnacentral:rRNA from 1 species